rnacentral:tRNA from 1 species
UGGGCUAUGGUGUAAUGGCAGCACUCGACACUUUGACUGUCGCAGUUUGGGUUCGAAUCCCGAUAGCCUAG